rnacentral:rRNA from 1 species
CAACGGGGACAUGAUCUCGUUUGUCAAUUUGAACUUUCAAAAAGAAUUAAGCUGUGAACCCUAAAGUAACUUAUUCUUAUUUCAAAAAUUUUGGAUAUAAAAACCCAUAAGUCUUUAAAAUUAAAAGAAGCUUCAUUCCUCUACCGCCGCAGCAAAAUACUUCUUAAUUCUUCUAAAAAUUUAGAAAAUAUAAAGUUUUAUAGGGUCUUCUCGUCUGUAAGAAAAAUUUUAGUCUUUUUACUAAAAAGACAACUUCAUCUUCUCAUUUUAAAAAAUUUUUUUCCAAUACACUCUUUCAUUCCAGUCUUCAAUUAAAAGA